CCUACGGGUGGCUGCAGUGGGGAAUAUUGGACAAUGGGCGAAAGCCUGAUCCAGCCAUGCCGCGUGUGUGAAGAAGGCCUUCGGGUUGUAAAGCACUUUCAGUGGGGAAGAAAGCCUUGGGGCUAAUACCCUCGAGGAAGGACAUCACCCACAGAAGAAGCACCGGCUAACUCCGUGCCAGCAGCCGCGGUAAUACGGAGGGUGCGAGCGUUAAUCGGAAUUACUGGGCGUAAAGCGCGCGUAGGCGGUCUGAUAAGCCGGUUGUGAAAGCCCCGGGCUCAACCUGGGAACGGCAUCCGGAACGGUCAGGCUAGAGUGCAGGAGAGGAAGGUAGAAUUCCCGGUGUAGCGGUGAAAUGCGUAGAGAUCGGGAGGAAUACCAGUGGCGAAGGCGGCCUUCUGGACUGACACUGACGCUGAGGUGCGAAAGCGUGGGUAGCAAACAGGAUUAGAUACCCCGGUAGUC
rnacentral:rRNA from 1 species